CUUGUAACCAAUUUCAGUUACUUCCUCCUUCCAACUGCUUCUCCAUUCUUCCGGACUCUUCUAGAAUAGAUGGGAGGACUAACAUUACCCUCAGUUUCCAAACUCACCUUGUCCUCAAAGUGAACAUCUGGAAAAUGUCGGGUGCUAGACGCGGCCAAUUCCCUCAUAACUUGAGUUACAUGCAGCCCUUUUCCAUUUCCACCCAGCUGCUCAGGUUCGUUCCCCACCCCUAACCAUUGGCCUUAGUGCUGCGAAGCCUUCAUCAUGGUUUUCAAUGAGACUCCCACUUUUUUAAGCCCAGAAUCUCCUUUCAAACUUACUAUUGAUUCUCCCAUUCGAAACUUCAUAGUGAGGAGUCUACAGUUGACUUCCAUAUUGCCUAGCUACCUAACCAUUGCAUCCUUAAGACGAUAUCCGUGCAGCCCAACUUUAACGAAAGGAAGUCUCCUACUAUUGUUAGUGAUGCAGACAUCAGUUUCAUUGGACCAUUUUAUCUUCCAUUUAUAUUUUAGGCCUUAUGUUUUAUUGGGCUUGUGUAUGGGUUCGGCCGAAGCGCUCAAAUUUGGUUUAUUAUUUUGUUAUUUAUAUGGUUAUAAUGGGAUUGAAAAUCAGUUGAUGAAUUGAUGAAGAUGAAUGAAAUGUUUCGUUAAGUUUUCUCCUCCCCGACCUAUCCUCUUAUUCUCUUCUUCUUCGGUCUUCUCCCCACAUUCUCUCCGGUUCUCCCCCGUUCUUGCUGCCUAUUUCUUCUUAAUCAUCAGCUUAUUUUCUGCUGGUUAUUGUUCAACUGCUGAAAUCCAAUUGAUCCUACAUUAAAUUUGGUAUCAGAGCUAAAGCUUGGGAGCUACUUUAUUUACACUGGCAAUUUCUAUAUAUACACCAAUCUGUCCCAACUUCCACCAUUCAUGCCUCAGUGUCCAACAACUAAUCCGACUCACAAAUAGCUUCCUCACCAUCUUUUCCACCUCCACCAAGUUCUCUAAAUCUGUAACCAAUCUAGGCAGCCUCCUAAAAUACAAACCAAGCAGCAACCUCUGCUGCAAAUCCGUCCUUGCACACCACACGAGAAAAACCAGACACACCCAAAUACAUACACAGUAUCCCAAUCAAAC
rnacentral:lncRNA from 1 species